UUUACCCGAAGGCGUCGCGCUAACUCGCAAGAGAGGCAGGCGACCACGGUGGGCUUAGCGACUGGGGUGAAGUCGUAACAAGGUAGCCGUAGGUGAACCUGCAGAAGGAUCA
rnacentral:rRNA from 1 species